UGCUGGAGAAUUUGCCCAUGUCCCC
rnacentral:miRNA from 1 species